GCCAGGCAUGGUGGCUCAUGCCUGUAAUCCCAGCACUUUGGGAGGCUGAGGCAGGUGGAUUGCUUGAGGCCAGGAGUUUGAGACUGGCCUGGCCAACAUGGCAAAAUCCUGUCUCUA
ensembl:misc_RNA Metazoa_SRP Metazoan signal recognition particle RNA